rnacentral:rRNA from 1 species
GAUGAACGCUGGCGGCGUGCCUAAUACAUGCAAGUCGAGCGAACAGACGAGGAGCUUGCUCCUCUGACGUUAGCGGCGGACGGGUGAGUAACACGUGGAUAACCUACCUAUAAGACUGGGAUAACUUCGGGAAACCGGAGCUAAUACCGGAUAAUAUAUUGAACAGCAUGGUUCAAUAGUGAAAGACGGUUUUGCUGUCACUUAUACAUGGAUCCGCGCCGCAUUAGCUAGUUGGUAAGGUAACGGCUUACCAAGGCAACGAUGCGUAGCCGACCUGAGAGGGUGAUCGGCCACACUGGAACUGAGACACGGUCCAGACUCCUACGGGAGGCAGCAGUAGGGAAUCUUCCGCAAUGGGCGAAAGCCUGACGGAGCAACGCCGCGUGAGUGAUGAAGGUCUUCGGAUCGUAAAACUCUGUUAUUAGGGAAGAACAAAUGUGUAAGUAACUAUGCACGUCUUGACGGUACCUAAUCAGAAAGCCACGGCUAACUACGUG